rnacentral:lncRNA from 1 species
GGUUGAUGGAGCUGUGCCUAAGGGAGAAUAGGCAAAAACUCAGUUGUUUUCUUAUUAUAUACCUCACUAGAACUAUUUCUGAAUCUAACUUCCAAUUUAUGAAAUCUUAUGCUGGUUGUUCUUUUCAUAUUUGCUGCUGUUACAAAAGCUCUUGCAGGACAUUGCUCAUUCGGACGCUUUGUGGUGUUAAUCUGAUGUCUAACCUACUG